UGUAAUGAGCUGAAGGAAGAAUGAAAGAGAUUCUGUCACGGUCAGGUUUUCGUGGAGUUGGAAGGCAAAAUGUGGAGAACCCAAGUGCAGGGAAGCGAGGCAGCAAUUUAAAACAAAAAGUUUCAAUUUCCCCCCAAAAUAGGCAAACGAGGAUCAAGGUAUGGGAUAUUAACAGCAAUGAAAAAGUCUAAACAGCCCAACAGAAACUGUUCUGGAGGAUCAGCACCAUGGAGGCUAGGGAGCCGACGCCUGAACAAAAGGGGAAGGGGGAGCCCCCGAGCUGGGGAGCUAAUAGCAAGAGCCAGGAAGCAAGAGGAGCUAAGAACAAAGAGGCAGAAGAGUCGGGGGUAAAAUACCCACAGGCUGCUGUCUGUUCAAACCAAAACUGACUGGAAACCAAGAUUACGAGAGGAUCUACUAAUCACCUUUGGGUCCAGAAGCUGUUGGAGUGUCUGAUUGUUUUUGUUUCCAUUGCUCGGUAGCACCAACCUGAGGGAAGAAGCUGGAGGAGGUGGUGACCAAAAUGUGGAAGUUCCAAGAUGAUUUUUCAUGCUUUUGUCUUAGUUCUGGUAGUGUGCGAAUCCUAAAAGGUGGCUUGUAGGGUAAAGACUUUUUUUUUCGUCAGUCCUGAUGUCUGUCAACUACAACUGUCUGUUGCAGUUCAUUGACAAAAUAGCAUCACCCUCUUGGAGAUUUUCAAAUCCACCUGAUUUGCAAGCCAUUGGCUGUGUAUUACCGUUUGCAUUUAAUAACAAAAUAAUGCAUAUUUGAUACGGCGGCAUGGUGGUGCAGAUAUAGAGCAGUUUUGAGGACCAGGGUUCAAAUCCUGGCCCCGCCUAUGUAGAGUUAGCGUGUUCUCCGCGUACUUGAAUGGGUUUUCUCCAGGGACUAUGGUUUCCUCACACAUCCCAAAAACAUGAUAGCUAGGAUUGGCUCCAGAACUCCUGAGACCCUCGUGAGGAUAGGUGGCUCAGAAAAUGGAUGGAUAUAUGACAUAUAUGACUUAAAUCAUGCCAGACUCAUUUUGACCUGUUAUGCAUACAAUGGUAGGAAAAAAUUCUGAUGGAAAGAGGACCAUUAACCUAAAAAUGUCCAAACUCUCAACCCUACAUAUUCUCAGAUUUCUGUCUUCCAUUAAAACAGAUUGACUAUCGAUUAAUCAAAAAUAUAAUCCACAGAUGAAUUGAUAAUUAAAGUACUUUUAUCCAAACAAUCAGAGCCUGUGAUUCAGUAUUUGCACUUAAAGAGAUCAUCGACAAA